rnacentral:lncRNA from 10 species
CACCGGCCCAAGUUUCCUCCCGGCUUCCCCCUUGUGGAGCCUGCGGAAACCUCGCUCUGCCCAGGCAGGAGGGGAAGCCUUGCCCUCACUGUUGGAAAUUGAAGCUGGCCUGGGCUGGGUGGACAGGAAGGUCUUCGGCCAGGGCAGGAGCCCCCAUCCUCGCCCUGACCCUAGCGGAGGGACAACACCCCCACCACGCACCCGCUGCGCCAUGAGCAAAGUCUGCGGCCCCUCACUCGGCGCGGCUCCGGGAACACUGGGGCGGGGGUGGGUGAUUCAGUCCCCCACCCCCGGGUGUCCUGACUCCCUGGUGGCCCUGGGCUGACAGCUCCACACCUUGGGAGGCCGCACCCCCACCUGCCGCAUUUCCUCGUUCUGAGUCACCCUUGCUCAGAACGCUUGACUUUGGGACUUCCUGUCCGCACUCGCGGCCCCUAACCUGCCCCGGGAGCCCGGGAGUGCGGCUUGGGAAGGAGGGAAAGGAGUGUGUGAGCAGGGAUUGGCCCGAACCUAUCUCCACGCUCUCCCCCGGGACUGGAGGUGAAGGGGGGCGUGGAGAAAAUCUCAGGGAACAGGGGCUUCGACAGGGGGCUCCCGCCCGCCCGAGCCCCCUCCCCAAAAUGCGAGGCCUGCACAGUAUGCCUUCUCCGCAAAACCUCGGCAAGCGGGUUAGUGAAUUCAGGUCACUAAGAAGCUGAGCCCGCGGAAAGCUGCCCAAACACCCCCUUCUCUAGGGGACUCCCCACGCCCCCCGCCGGGACGCGUUCCCGAAGUCGCCGCCUGGACUGCAACCGCGUGGCCUGCGCCGCGUCCUCUUCUCCGCAGCCUCCGAGGCCCGUGCGACCAAGCUGAAACCGCUUAUUCUCCGGAGCCCCUAUGACCCCGGGUGGGGGCCAGGGCUCGCCUCGAUCGCAGCCCGUGCGCCCUCCGGACUCCAGUUCGCCGGGACUGGGCGACACCAGAAGCGGCUAGUGUGAGUGAAACAAACGGGAAAUUUGCUCUGGCCCGCCUGCCCAGCCACCCACGGCUGCCUGUUGGCCAAUCACCAUUUGACCAGUCCAGGAAGAGCAACUGUGGCAGGCCUGAUUUCCUGGGAGGCCCCAGACUCCCUUUGCCUACCUCUUCCUCUCUGACCCCAUCCUCGCUUUGAUGCCCGGGACCUGCUACCCAGAGUCUUUCCCGCUCUAGGUGACUGGGUGCUAAGGAGGAAAGUUCUUCAGUGAGUCUUAUAAAGCGGCACCAAAACGCGGUAUUUAUAGUGACAUAAUCAGCCCUAAUGGAGAUGGAAUUACCCCAUAAAGGCCCCAAGGAGCCCUCAGGGCCUCAGCGCCACUGCAGCAGACAAGGCUCCUGUACAGGCAGGUGGAGCCCGAGUGAGUGUGUGUUUGUGUGUGACUGCCUCUCCUGCCAAUCCCUGCCUCCGGCCCACCAGCCUGCUUAGGGGCCCACCUUUGCUAGGACUUAGCUGGGGCUGGGUACUGGGGGCAAGGAGAUGACAAAGGUGAAUGCUGAAGCCAUGGCCUCACUUACCCCACCUUUGAUCUGUGCCUGCCUUUGGCCAAGAGCAUCAGAAAAAAAAUAAUGCGGCCUGGGCAAUACAGUGAGACCCCAUCUCUACAAAAGAAAAAAGAAAAAAAAUUAGCUGGGCAUGGUGGUGAGCACCCGUGGCCUCAGCUACUCGGGCGGCUGAGGAAGGAGGAUUGCUUGAGCCUAGGAGGUCAAGGCUGCAAUGAGCCGUGAUUGCACCACUGCACUCCAGCCUAGGCAACCAAGUGAGACCCUGUUUCAAAACAAAAUUUUUUUAAAAAAAGAAAAGCAAAGAAAAAAACUGUAGCCAAUACUUAUGAAGCACUACUAUGUGCCGGGCCCAGUUCUAGGCACUUAUCUGUACUGAUCCACUUAGUUCUCAUGACACCUUCAGGGAGGUGGCCACUGCUCCUGCCCACAUUUUGCAGAAGAGCAAAUUUGGAAGUAAAAUUUGGAGCUGGCAUUCUGGCCCAGACAGGCUAGAUCCAGCGCGCACUCUCAUGGGUACCUGCCUCAACCAUUGCCUCUGAAUUCCACUGAACCUGGAGAGCAGUGCCCCGUCCUGGAAUGUGCCAACUCUCCGCAGCUGGGAUCUUUAAGGUCAGUCUAAUUACUACCUCUUGGGUGAAACCCCCAGGGAUCAGGCCCCCCCUAGAGCCCCAGGGGCCUCCAUGCUACAUGCCUACCAGCACCCUGCUCUCAACCAACUGAACUCUUUUUUGUUUUUCAAAGCCUCUGAACUAUCUUCUCAACUAGACUGUAAAUCCCUCAGAGGCAGGGUAUGAAUCCAGCAACAGGUAGAACAGUUCCCCA